CUUGUGUUGGCGCAGACACCAAAGUAUGUCAGGACAAUUAUGGAAGCUGCUCCGAUAACAACUUCCUUCAAUCCUCCUGGCAUUGCGUUGACGGCAAAUGUGCCUGUAGUUAUGGCGGAUUCGGAAGUUGCUUGAGCCACCCAAAUCCUCUACAGUGUUUUGCUGCACUCGGGAAGUAAACACGUCAGGAGACUUACAUAUGCAGACCACAUCGCUUUUGGACUGAACUGUUUCUUGGAAAUAUGCAAAAAUAAAAGUGAUGUAAAGUUGAAAGAAA